GGUUCCCAUCCUGGCCUGGUAAACUGUCAGGGGAGGAGGCGGGGCACAACCAUCACCACCAUGGCCGCCUGCAGCUCAGAGAGGACAGCAAGGUGGAGCCAGAGAAGCUGAAAACACUGUCUGACAUCUGUUAUUACCCCAGGUGGACCAGAGAAGCUGAAAACACUGUCUGACAUCUGUUAUUACCCCAGGUGGAGCCAGAGAAGCUGAAAACACUGUCUGACAUCUGUAUUACCCCAGGUGGAGCCAGAGAAGCUGAAACAACACACAUGACCUAGAGGCCCUCGACAGAGCGACCAAGAGGAACAGAAAAGCUGGGAAGUUGAAUAAUCAUUUAGAAGCUGCUAUACAUGAGGCCAUGAGUGAGCGCUGCGACAAGAUGUCAGGGACUGUGA